GUCCUUAUAGUUCAAUGGAUAGAACAACUGUUUCCUAAAUAGUCGAUCUGGGUUCGAUUCCCAGUGAGGAUACCA
rnacentral:tRNA from 1 species